AGACUAAGUGCAGAGUUCUGACCCAGGAGUUGGUUGUGGGCAGAGCUACAACUUCAGGACACUUGGGAGGGGUGCCUUGCUUCCCUUUGGCGGGGGCACCCCUCCUGGUGCUACCUCUCCACUCUGUUUCAGUGUGUGUGUGCUAUCGCGUCAAGGAGACCAACUGUAGGCUUUUGGAGAAACUUGGAAAGAGAAGUUCAGCACAGCCAGUGACUGAAGUCCCAAGGACGUGGCAGAAAAUCAAGAAAUAAAAAAGCUGGAGAGACACUAAGAGAACACUGGAUGUUAAUUAUACUGGCAUUUCUUUUUUAAAGGCUGGAGAAACUUUGGAUGCAAUUAUAAAUCAAAACCAAAAAUAAAUCUUCCUUCAAAGGAUGAUCCCAGGUGCCAGCACGACUCUUGAGAGUAUUUCAGAGCUUCCUCAAUUUCAACCAAAGUCCAAAGAUUCCCUGUAAACAGAGGUACUAUGUAUUUUUAAUUCUGACUUUUGACAAUUUUCCACGGGAAUCUCAUGUUUCUGCACACCUUGUGAGAGGAGGCACAGAGCUUUCUUGUUCCAGACUAUCUUUUUAUGUAGGAAACAACCUUGGAAGAGAGAGUUUUCCCCUCUUGGACAGCCUUGCUUGCAUGCCCUUUAAAAGACUAGGCUUCCUGAGCUGGAAAUUCCUCAGCUGUGACAGCCUCUACCUGGGCUACUCGGCAUCGCCCCCAUGGAACUUGGAAGACCAGAGGAGCAGAUGAGGAACAGGAAGCUCACGCAGCCAGAGAGCCUUCUGACCUGGGACUCUCCCGUCUUUGGCCAACGUCCAUGACACUGUGGCAGGUUAACUUGUUAGCUUGCACACAGCGUCUGACCCUUCAUAGUUGUUGACACCAGUCACCCCCGAAACUUAAAUCUCAUAGAAUAAAAGGAUUUCUUUGUCCUACCUGAUUUUCCACCUCUCUCAGGCAAACGAUCUAAUACAAUUCCAGUGCAAUGAAUACGUAUGGAUUGUCUUCUGGAGUUUGUUGCAAAUGCACUUAAUAUUUCCAGCCAGAAAAAUGAGAAGUUAAUAUAAUGUAUUAAAAGACAUAUGUAAGAGAGACAAUGGUUAGAUAGGACUAAAAGAGGUUAAAGGGGAAGAAGGUAAUCCUAGAAGGUGGAAAUAAAAUAAAUCGCAAAGCACAUAUUUAAUUUUGGUUUAAUCCCACAAGCGAAACCCUUCUUUGCUUAAUUGAAAAUUGUGGUCCUAUCGCCCUCUACCGGAACCAGGCUGGAAACUACAGGGAAAUUGUUUGAAGUUGCUCUUCAUGGAAUCUGCUCACAUCUCUGUUAUGCAUUGCUACCACUUUCCAGACUUUAAAGUAUAAACCUCCGGUGUUCAGAAAGAUAAAGGAACACAGCUCCCUUUGCAUCUGCAGCCUGACAGGUUAAUGCUGAACCACCUCAUGCUGAAAAGAGAGUGGGCAGUCCUUCCCAAUACUCACCUUUAAUUUGUAGCAGCCAGAUAACAGGACCACUGACAGAACCACUAACAGUAGCCUUUGCUGGACAUCCCAACAGGUCGUCCCUAGCACUUCUGCCUCCACCUACCCCACUUCUAUUCCAUGGACAUCUGCUUAGAACCCUUCCCUCAUCUAUUAACCCCAUCACCAAACCUAUUCAGUUCCAUCUCAGAAAGUAUCACUUUGCUCCUGGGCCCUACAGGACUAGACGGAAUGCCAACUCUUCCAGCAGAGUAACAUCACACUGUGAACUCAAACGGUGAGUGCCAAAAGUCCAAACCUUCAUUUUAGUUUAAAUGUUACCCUAUCUAGGGGCGCCUGGGUGGCUCAGUUGGUUGAGCAGCUGACUUCAGCUCAUGAUCUCACAGCUCGUGAGUUCGAGCCCCGUGUCAGGGUCUGUGCUGACAACUUGGAGCCUGGAGCCUGCUUCGGAUUCUGUGUCUCCCUCUUGCUCUGCCCCUAACCCACUCACAUUCUGUCUCCGUCUCUCUCAAAAAUAAAUAAACAUUAAAAAAAUAAAUAAAAUAAAUGUCACCCUAACUGUACCUAAAAGCAGCCUGCCUAAAUGUUUUGAUCAUGCACUGAAAUCAGAAAAAAAUAUAUAAUGCACCAAUAAAUGUAUUAUUUAUUUACAAAUUAUAUAAGUGUACAAUUGUACAAUAUAUUAUGUACAUUAUAAAACACACAAAAAUAGAAAUUUAAAAGGAUGAGAGUAAAUACAAAUAACCAUUUUACCUUUUCCCCACGGACUGAUUAUCUGCAUACCCCAGGGAUAUAUAACACACCCACCUGAAACCACAGCCCUAAAGCAUGCCAAGGAUUGCUGUAUUUGGAUUUUUAGCUCAAGUUACAGAAAAAUGUGCAAGAUCAUAGCUUUUACAGUUUUGCAAAAUAGCCCUAAUAUCUAGUUUAAAUGUGUGAAGAUGUUUGACACUAACUUAAGACACAUUAGGACCAAUCACCACACAGCCAAUGAAAUGGUACUUUAUGGUUCAAUGUUAGCUGUUUCAUCUUAAGGCAAACUUAAAUGGGGGUUUCAUAGAGUUAAGUAAGAAUAUUUGGGGACAAAAAUGCUUUCAAGAAAUACUUAAAGGAUGACAAUUUGCCUGUUUAAGAAAAGCAAAAAACAAAAAACAGCUAGUAUCUAAAAAAGUAAUUCCUCUGCCUCCAGUGGAAAAGACUUUAAAAGCGGUGGGGGGGGGGGGGGUAGGGCAUCCCAAACAAUGACCAUUAGCUAAUGCAAACGGUUUAGAAUGGAUUGCCACAUAUCUGCCUGUCCUGAUACCAGUGAGUCCUUAAGAACAUGAAUUCUUUGAUUUCUAUAGCCCCAGUAUCCAAUCAUUGCCCUGGAAACAUAGAAACGCAGUGAAUAUAUGACAUAUGAUGAACAACCCCUCAAAUACAUAGACUGCGGAGUUACAUUUGAAAUAACUGUUGCGAAAGAACACUUCAGCAUCUGGUUUUGAUUUGUUGAAGCAAAGAACUAGACAGACAUCAUGGUCAGCAAUACACUCAGAGAGUUUCAUUACAUUCCUCAACAUCCUCCCACAUCUUUUCCCCAUCAGUCAGUCCUUUGGCAUCCCGCAACCCACAAUGCUUCCACCCAAGGUCUGAGCUUCCCGCCAUGCAGCAGAGUAAAACAGCAAGCCAGGCUUGUCCUUCUCCACCCCUUAGUGCAAGCUGGGAGAAAUGUAAGGGUAUUACCCCACACCAAGUGCUCCUUAAUUUUAAAAAGUUAUUCAUGAAAACUUAAAAACUUUGUAGAAAGGACAUGAACAUCUGACUUUUGAGAUUGGGAUACACACAUGACAAACACCAUGGGGCCUCAAUCAAGUUUUGUAACUGCUAGACUUUCAAGUGUGGUCUCCUCAUGGAAGAGUUAUCUUCUAGUAGGUACUUUGCCGAUUUAGAGAAAAAUACUACACAAUUUAAAUAAAUUUCAUAAAUAAUGUUUCACUUUGUGUACACAGUUUUCAUCUGUAUGCUUGAUUAUUCUGUUGACAAAAGUUUCUUGAUGAAAACAAAACUGAAACUACACUAAGAGUUUCCAUUAGAUUAAUGCAAACCAGGGUCAGUUAUCAAAUCUUGAUCAGGAGAAGACAGGAUAUGGAGUUUAGAGAUUUGCUGAAGAGACGGGGGAACCAUAAACCGAACGCUCAGUUCUUUUCACUAUUGCAAUAUGGAGGGUUUUUUUUUUUACCUAAAGUACUUAUUAGAGGAUAAUGUACUUACUUGGUUGGGAAGUACAUAUAGAUCACCCAGAGGGCAAAGGAAAACAGACUAGUGGCAUUUUCUAAGGUCAAGGUGAUGCUGUUUUUUUAAGUACUAUGGUGAGUUCUUAGGUUGUGAAAUCAUCCUCUCUAAACACAGAAAGCCUCUGUAAGACAAAAUGGCUACUAGAAUAGAAAUACUUUCUUGAAAAUUAUCUUUUAAGAAAACCAGGACAUGUGUACAUUACACACUGGUUCGUUCACACGUUUUCUUGAACAACUCCUUUUGCUUGAUGCUACGGGCAGGGCUCACUGCCUUCUACCACACUUAGGUGACCAGCAGCUGUCUCACCUGACAGUCUCACCUUCCCGGCAAAACCUAACUCAAAAAUUAAACCCUCUACUUGCGAAGAGAAACAACUCCUCAGUGGCACUUCUGCCUGCCAAGGAAGGGUCUAACACCUUUAAAGAGAAAAACAGGUGAUGGAGUUUCCAAUGGAGAAAUCGCUUUGAACAUACUGUAGAAAAUAUUACAUCCUAAAUUUAGAACCAGGAAAACCAUUCAUGUUUUUGGUAAUUUUCACAUUUUAUUUCCAACUACUGCAGUAACAAAACACCAGUGGUAAUUCUGAAUGGAAAGUGGCAACCUUUUAAAUCAGUAAGGUCACAAAUCAGUAUUCCAACAGUACUUUGGCCUAUGGAGAUUUUGAUAGGAGAGGGAUUAUUACAAUCAGUCCUGUAAUAUUACAGACAUAUGCUUCCUCAGUAACUAGUAAUAAAAAUAUUCAUCUUACCUCAGUGAUUCAUCAUGUAUACAUUUCUACUCUCUAUAAGCACUAUCCUUCGGGGUUGCAAUGUGUGAGGGGGAAACUCCUCCCACUCAUACGGUUUUCUAUGCCAUACAGACACAGUGGCCACUUGAGCAGUAAUGGACAUUAUUAUAUUUUAGUUGAAAAAUA